GCCCCGGUAGCUCAGUCGGAUAGAGCAUCCCCCUCCUAAGGGGAGGGUCGGGGGUUCGAAUCCUCCCCGGGGCG
rnacentral:tRNA from 1 species